rnacentral:rRNA from 1 species
AGAGCGAACGCUGGCGGCAGGCCUAACACAUGCAAGUCGAGCGCCGUAGCAAUACGGAGCGGCAGACGGGGGAGUAACACGUGGGAACGUACCUUUUGGUUCGGAACAACUGAGGGAAACUUCAGCUAAUACCGGAUAAGCCCUUACGGGGAAAGAUUUAUCGCCAAAAGAUCGGCCCGCGUCUGAUUAGCUAGUUGGUGGGGUAACGGCCCACCAAGGCGACGAUCAGUAGCUGGUCUGAGAGGAUGAUCAGCCUCACUGGGACUGAGACACGGCCCAGACUCCUACGGGAGGCAGCAGUGGGGAAUAUUGGACAAUGGGCGCAAGCCUGAUCCAGCCAUGCCGCGUGGGUGAUGAAGGCCCUAGGGUUGUAAAGCCCUUUCGGCGGGAAGAUAAUGACGGUACCCGCAGAAGAAGCCCCGGCUAACUUCGCGCCAGCAGCCGC